rnacentral:rRNA from 1 species
GGGAAUAUCCCCAUAAGACGAGAAGACCCCAUGGAGCUUCAAACCCAAUUACACCCCUAACCCCUAUAACUACUUAACCCUUAGGAUUCUGUAUUAUUGGUUUUAGGUUGGGGCGACCACGGAGUACAACAAAACCUCCACAAUGAACGGAACUACUUCCUCAUCUGAGAGCUACAUCUCUAAGAAUUAAAAUAUUAACAUAAAAUGAUCCAUUUUUGAUCAAUGAACCAAGUUACCCUGGGGAUAACAGCGCAAUCCAUUUCAAGAGCCCCUAUCGACAAAUGGGUUUACGACCUCGAUGUUGGAUCAGGGUAUCCUGGUGGUGCAGCAGCUACUAAAGGUUCGUUUGUUCAACGAUCAAAACCCUACGUGAUCUG